GAAGCCGAGCGACUGGAUAGAGCGUUGCCCUCCGAAGGCAAAGGUCACACGUUCGAAUCGUGUCGGGUGCGCCA
rnacentral:tRNA from 1 species